rnacentral:rRNA from 1 species
GAUGAACGCUGACAGAAUGCUUAACACAUGCAAGUCAACUGUGGCGGACGGGUGAGUAACGCGUAAAGAACUUGCCUCACAGUUAGGGACAACAUUUGGAAACGAAUGCUAAUACCUGAUACUGUGAGAGAGCUUUGCGUCCCAUUAGCUAGUUGGAGAGGUAACGGCUCACCAAGGCGCUGAUGGGUAGCCGGCCUGAGAGUGUGAUCGGCCACAAGGGGAUUGAGAAACGGCCCUUACGCCUACGGGAGGAAGCAGUGGGGAAUAUGGGACAAUGGACCAAAGUGUGAGCCAGCAAUUCGGGGUGAAAGAUGAAGUUUUCGGAAUGUAAAGUGAUUUCAGUUGGGAAGCGGUACCAACAGAAGAAGUGACGGCUAAAUACGUGCCAGCAGCCGCGGUAAUUC